UACGUAGGGGGCAAGCGUUGUCCGGAAUUAUUGGGAGUAAAGAGCGCGUAGGCGGUCCGAUAAGUCGGCUGUGAAAGUCAGGGGCUCAACCCUUGGAAGCCGGCCGAUACUGUCGGACUAGAGUCCGGAAGAGGCGAGUGGAAUUCCCGGUGUAGCGGUGAAAUGCGCAGAUAUCGGGAGGAACACCUAUGGCGAAGGCAGCUCGCUGGGACGUUACUGACGCUGAGACGCGAAAGCGUGGGGAGCAAACAGG
rnacentral:rRNA from 1 species